AUAUCAGUCAGCGCAGCGUAAUAAUAGAAACUAACCAGGAUUCCCUUAGUAACGGCGAGUGAACUGGGAUACCCAAUAUACCAUCUGUGCGUACCUCGGUGCGUACAAAUUUUAGCCCGUCGAUACUAUCCUAGCAUAGUACUGGCUUCGGCCGGUAACCUAUCUAUGCGCGAAUUGUAGCAUCGUACAAAAAUAUAUUAUACAACGUAUAUAUACGCAACCCACACUUAUAUAUAUUUUUAUGCGUACACUUACUUUCAUAAACACACAGCGCUCUCGCGUUGGAAAGCAAGUUUAUAUCCUUUUGGGGUAUGCCAUAGAGUGUGACAGCCACGUUUCAACUCUACGUACGCACUGCAUAUGCGUUAUAUAUACACACACGUAUUUUAUAUAACCUGAGUCGAGUUACUUGGGACUAUAGCUCUAAUAGUUUGGUUGGUGGUAAUGACACAUCAAAGGCUAAAUAUUGGUUAGUCGAUGCAUAUUGCGGAGACCGAUAGCAUACAAGUACCGUAAGGGAACGAUGAAAAGCACCCUAUUGAGUUCACGGCGCAGACUGUCUUUGCAAUUCGUUGCGAGACGUCUUGCGCCCAACAACUACAGUGGGAGUGAAAGAGAGAGUGAAAUCGCCUAUACAAAUAUAUAUUAUGCGCUGCAUACACACACACAGCUCUGUGUAACAACAGUCUGCGUUAGUACAAUCGGACAGAGUGUCGUAUCACUUAUAUAUAUAA
rnacentral:rRNA from 1 species